GUCACCGGCGCCGUGCGGGGGCUUCUCCUCUGCAUGUCAGUCCAACUUGCCGUGCUCGCUACGAAACCUGUGCUCUCUUUUGCAGCUGUCAGGCGCCGGGGCUGUGCCCAGGCUUCCCAGCAUCGCGGUGCGCGGCGGAGCGCUGAGCCUGUUUUCUGGGAGACGGCGAGGUUUGCACAACUGCAGCAAGAAGCCAAAUCAAAAAGCCAAUCUGCGAGCCUCCAAACUCCGUCACCCUAUCAGCUGGGAGCAAGAGCUGCAACAGAAUUACAAGCCAUGCAUAUUUAUUCUUCUGAACCCAGGGGGGGAUUUUCAGAUUGUUUAAAGGAACCACAAUGAAACCAGAGCAAACCCUUUCCAAAACAAAUACAAGCAGAGCAGCUGUCUUGCAUGUAACAUGCACACACACAUCUCUGUGAGAUCUCCAUGGGUGUAUAUAGAUGUAGGCACACACUCAUGGAGCCGCGAUCGCUCCUGCACCCUACCCUCCAAGUAUAUUGACUUGACUUUGUGCAUUUCAGCGAAGGAAGGAACACACGGUAGCUGAGCCUCAGAGCAGAAGAUAUUGACUGCAUAUUGUAAAUUCAAGGGAUCUGCCAAACACUUCUGUGAGAUUAAAUAUAGGCAAUGUAAUUACAUAGGCAGCGUUAGUCCUGGUAACCAUUUGAAGCUAUGUGCUUUGGUUUGCGCUUGCAGAAACCACCCUUUUUUUUUUUAAAAAAAAAAAAAAAAAAGUCAAAUAGUAACUUUUGAGACAGCAAGUCAUUUUAAGGCAACAAAAUACACACUGCCUCCAAAGUUGCUAUUUGACUUUGGCAGAAGAUAACUGGGGGCUGGUUUCCAUGGCCAUGGAACAGGGGAGUAGCUUUGUGCCUUACACAAGACACACAGCAGUGUUUGCACAUGGGUUUGUCUCCCCUUGCAAUUCCCCCUAUUUUUGCCAGCCGCUACCACAGCAGUUAUGGGCAGAUAUCUGCCUCCAGCAGCUUUACCUUCUAGCAUGGCUUUUCACUCCUUGGAGAGCCACAAAACCCAGGUGCUGUAAGGUAACAACCCCUGAGACAGCUGCAUGGGGCAGGGCCGUUCUGCCCAGGGGUGGGCUAUUUCAUCCUCCAGA